UGCGGUGCCCAUAUCUGGCUGGAACUACCCGUUUCCAUUCCGACCACGGUCGUCAAGCAGCCGGAGCCGAUGAUAGUGCAACAGUGCGAAAGUAGGUCAGUGCCGCAU
rnacentral:rRNA from 1 species